GAUGAACGCUGGCGGCGUGCCUAAUACAUGCAAGUCGAGCGAACGGACGAGAAGCUUGCUUUUCUGAUGUUAGCGGCGGACGGGUGAGUAACACGUGGAUAACCUACCUAUAAGACUGGGAUAACUUCGGGAAACCGGAGCUAAUACCGGAUAAUAUUUUGAACCGCAUGGUUCAAAAGUGAAAGACGGUCUUGCUGUCACUUAUAGAUGGAUCCGCGCUGCAUUAGCUAGUUGGUAAGGUAACGGCUUACCAAGGCAACGAUGCAUAGCCGACCAGAGAGGGUGAUCGGCCACACUGGAACUGAGACACGGUCCAGACUCCUACGGGAGGCAGCAGUAGGGAAUCUUCCGCAAUGGGCGAAAGCCUGAUGGAGCAACGCCGCGUGAGUGAUGAAGGUCUUCGGAUCGUAAAACUCUGUUAUUAGGGAAGAACAUAUGUGUAAGUAACUGUGCACAUCUUGACGGUACCUAAUCAGAAAGCCACGGCUAACUACGUG
rnacentral:rRNA from 1 species